GUUUACCACCAUACCACCCUGAACGUGCCCGAUCUUGUCUGAUCUUGGAAGCUAAGCAGGGUCGGGCCUGGUUAGAACUUGGAUGGGAGACUGCCCGGUAAUACCAGUUGCUGUAGGCU
rnacentral:rRNA from 1 species